rnacentral:rRNA from 1 species
AUUGAACGCUGGCGGUAUGCUUAACACAUGCAAGUCGAACGGCAGCACGAUGCGUAGAAAUACGUAUGGGUGGCGAGUGGCGGACGGGUGAGGAACGAGUAGGAAUCUGCCUUAAAGAGGGGGACAACCGGAGGAAACUCUGGCUAAUACCGCAUAAUACUCUGAGGAGGAAAGGCUGGGUAGAAAUGUCUGGCGCUUUAAGAGGAGCUGGGGGCCGAUUAGCUAGUUGGUAGGGUAAAGGCCUACCAAGGCGAUGAUCGGUAGCUGGUCUGAGAGAGUGACCAGCCACACUGGGACUGAGACACGGCCCAGACUCCUACGGGAGGCAGCAGUGGGGAAUAUUGGACAAUGGGGGGAACCCUGAUCCAGCCAUGCCGCGUGUGUGAGGAAGGCCUUAUGGUUGUAAAGCACUUUAAGCGAGGAGGAGGCUCUUUUGGUUAAUACCCAAGAUGAGUGGACGUUACUCGCAGAAUAAGCACCGGCUAACUCUGUGCCAGCCGCCGCGGUAA